rnacentral:misc_RNA from 1 species
AAAGAAUGAUGCCCAACAUCCCACCAUUUCAACCAUGUCCACUAACUAAUCAUAAUAAAACAACACUCACCUUGACUAAUCAGUAAUCACUACAACAGACAUUCGGCUAAAAAUCUUUUUCAAUAUCACAUAAACAUCAAUAUUUUUUUCUUGAAAUAACACAUGAAAAUAAUAAAUUCUCAAAAAUAUUAUGGCAGAUCACCGCAAGUAUACAACUCAUAUAACUUCAAGUGUCAACCCCAUUCAAUCCAUUCCUCACAACAGAAACAUUAUAAUUGUAUAAAGUUUAAG